AGUGAACGCUGGCGGUAGGCCUAACACAUGCAAGUCGAACGGCAGCACAGUAAGAGCUUGCUCUUACGGGUGGCGAGUGGCGGACGGGUGAGGAAUACAUCGGAAUCUACUUUUUCGUGGGGGAUAACGUAGGGAAACUUACGCUAAUACCGCAUACGACCUACGGGUGAAAGCAGGGGAUCUUCGGACCUUGCGCGAUUGAAUGAGCCGAUGUCGGAUUAGCUAGUUGGCGGGGUAAAGGCCCACCAAGGCGACGAUCCGUAGCUGGUCUGAGAGGAUGAUCAGACACACUGGAACUGAGACACGGUCCAGACUCCUACGGGAGGCAGCAGUGGGGAAUAUUGGACAAUGGGCGCAAGCCUGAUCCAGCCAUACCGCGUGGGUGAAGAAGGCCUUCGGGUUGUAAAGCACUUUUGUUGGGAAAGAAAAGCAGCAGGUUAAUACCCCGCUGUUCUGACGGUACCCAAAGAAUAAGCACCGGCUAACUUCGUG
rnacentral:rRNA from 1 species